GAUGAACGCUGGCGGCGUGCCUAAUACAUGCAAGUCGAGCGAACAGAUGAGGAGCUUGCUCCUCUGACGUUAGCGGCGGACGGGAGAGUAACACGUGGAUAACCUACCUAUAAGACUGGGAUAACUUCGGGAAACCGGAGCUAAUACCGGAUAAUAUAUUGAACCGCAUGGUUCAAUAGUGAAAGACGGUUUUGCUGUCACUUAUAGAUGGAUCCGCGCCGCAUUAGCUAGUUGGUAAGGUAACGGCUUACCAAGGCAACGAUGCGUAGCCGACCUGAGAGGGUGAUCGGCCACACUGGAACUGAGACACGGUCCAGACUCCUACGGGAGGCAGCAGUAGGGAAUCUUCCGCAAUGGGCGAAGGCCUGACGGAGCAACGCCGCGUGAGUGAUGAAGGUCUUCGGAUCGUAAAACUCUGUUAUUAGGGAAGAACAAAUGUGUAAGUAACUAUGCACGUCUUGACGGUACCUAAUCAGAAAGCCACGGCUAACUACGUG
rnacentral:rRNA from 1 species